rnacentral:lncRNA from 1 species
UGAGAAUCUAGCAGAGAAGUUGAUUGGUGUUCUCUUUGAGGUGUGGUUACUAGCUUGUACUCGGUGCUUCCCAACACCUCCUUAUUGGAAAACAGCCAAGGAGAUGGUGGCUAACUGGAGGCAUCACCCAGCAGUGGUGGAGCAGUGGAGCAAGGUCAUUUGUGCACUCACUUCCAGAUUGCUACGCUUUACAUAUGGUCCUUCAUUUCCUGCAUUUAAAGUUCCCGAUGAAGAUGCCAGUCUGAUCCCUCCAGAAAUGGAUAAUGAGUGUGUUGCACAGACAUGGUUUCGCUUUUUACACAUGUUAAGUAAUCCUGUGGAUUUGAGUAACCCAGCUAUUAUAAGCUCUACUCCCAAAUUUCAGGAACAGUUCUUGAAUGUGAGCGGAAUGCCGCAAGAAUUGAAUCAAUAUCCCUGCCUUAAACAUCUGCCUCAAAUAUUUUUUCGUGCCAUGCGUGGAAUCAGCUGUCUGGUGGAUGCAUUCUUAGGUAUUUCUAGACCCCGAUCAGACAGUGCUCCCCCAACACCCGUGAAUAGAUUAAGUAUGCCUCAAAGUGCUGCUGUCAGUACCACCCCCCCACAUAACCGGAGGCACCGGGCUGUUACUGUGAAUAAGGCCACCAUGAAGACAAGCACAGUUAGUACUGCUCAUGCCUCUAAAGUUCAGCACCAGACGUCCUCCACCUCUCCUCUGUCAAGUCCAAAUCAGACUAGUUCAGAACCCCGGCCACUGCCUGCCCCUCGGAGACCAAAGGUUAACAGCAUCUUGAAUCUCUUUGGAUCAUGGUUAUUUGAUGCAGCAUUUGUUCACUGUAAACUUCAUAAUGGGAUAAACAGAGACAGCAGCAUGACUGGU